GUGAGCCACGCCUUCAUUCAUCAGCUGAUAAAGACACGUCACACCUACACCAGUGACAGUCUGAUGAAGGCGAAAGUACACGCCGAAACAUGUCAGGUAAAUAAAACAACCUAAAUAAUUUGUCUGUGAUAAAAGAACCAGUCAACUAAUUUACAAGUGAAGAUAAAAUGAACUUAGUACAACUAAGAGAUUUCUUUUUUGCUUAAUUUA